rnacentral:misc_RNA from 1 species
UCUCCGUUGGUGAACCAGCGGAGGGAUCAUUACCGAGUACUAUAACUCAUAACCUUUUUUGAACCUUUAUACCUGUUGCUUCGGCGGCGCGCCUCCCGGGGCUUGCCCGCCGCCAUUAUCCGAAUCUCUGUUCGAACCCUACUAUACAUCUGAGUGUUCUAAGCGAACUUUAAAAACUUUCAACAACCGAUCUCUUUGCUCCAGCAUCCAUGAAGAACGCAGCCGACCGGACGAGCACACGCCUGACCUCCAUUCACACGCGGGUAGUCCGUACG